rnacentral:rRNA from 1 species
AUGGUGUUCCGGAAGAAGUCCGAGGGAGGAUCCGUCGUCCGGCGACCUCGCAAGCGACGGGACACGACUCUGGCUCCGGUGAAGCGCUCCGCGAGGUUAAAGAAAAAGCAGAUGUACGCUCUUGAUCUGCUCGCCACAGUUGCAGAAUCCUUGUCCUCAGAUGAGGAUGAUUAUUCCACCGAAAGCGACCAAGAUGUAGCGGCAGCAAGUCAUAAUUCAGACAGGGCAGCUGUUAAAGCAGAACAAUUUCAUGAAGCCCCGCAGCUCAAUAGCACAGCAUUGGAGAAUGAUUGCUGCAGAGGAUAUACAGUGGGCUGUGAUUGUAUCUGUGCCCCUCUCGGAGAAACUAGCAUACGCAAGACAGAGGACUUAUCGACCCAAAAUGUUGCUGAUACAGUAGAAGGGUCACUAAUAGAAAAGGCAGAUGCGGACAACUUAUUGACCCAAAACGUUGCUGAUGCAGCAGCAGAGCCGCUGAUAGAAAAGAAGCCAGAUGUGUUUGCUGAGGGCUCAUUGGUUAGUUGUACAAAACCAUCUCUGUUGGAUUGUGGUCUUGGCACAAUUCCAGAGUAUGGAACUAUUGGGGUAUGCCAUCCUUGUUUCCCGACAUCAGCAGACGUUAAGCAAGUGCAUCAAGCCACACCUGCAAUAAUCGGAAGUCUGGUAGAUGGCAAUGCCGCAGCUCUGCAUGGUUUGGUUGACACCAUGGAUCUGGAUAUCAAACCUUCUGUGCUUAAUUCUGAGAGUAGCUCAGGAGUGCACUUGGGUGGCCAUGACAAUGGCCAUAACUCUUCACCAUUCUAUCCGGUUCAAGUGCAGCAUGCUGCAGAUAUAGAUAAUGAUGAAAAAUCCACCAGGUGUGUGCAUCCAAGCACCUCAGGAAGUAAGGGUGGGCAUUUGUCAUAUAAAGGUGACUGUAGAACAAGGAGAUUGUUGUCCACCAGGAUGAGGAAGGCAGCUCGUAAUAAGAUGUGUGGAGAGCUGCCUAAUAAAGGUAGCAAGUUCGGUGGAAAGAAGAUAUCCGCUACACGUCGAAGGGCGCAGAUGCAACGGAUGCUCAAGACAAAAAAAGUAGUUGAAUGCUACUCUGCACAGCCAUCUGAUGAAGGGGUCCUAACUGAAACCAGUGGGACAUCAUGCUCCAGGGGAGGUCAGGAUCCAACUUGUGCUUCUGAGUCCAGUCAAAGAAAGCCAUGUGCUUCUGAGGGCUGUAAUGUCAAGUUCAUCAUCAAGUCUUUCAACAUUCCUGAGCUAUCAAUUGAGGUCCCUGAAAAUGCAACAGUUGGUUCAUUGAAGAGAAUUGUAAUGGAUGCUGUUACUAGUAAAAUUGAAGGCAGCCUCAGUGUCAGUGUGCUACUUCAAGGGGAGAUCAUUCAAGAUGACAAUAAGACGCUUCAUCAGGCUGGGAUUUGCCACGGGGCAAAACCAGAUAGCAUAGGCUUCACACUGGAAUGUGAAGCUAAGCAAGAUUCUCGUCCUUCAGGACUAGCACCUGAAGAGAUGGACUCCGCUGGUCCAUCUGUUGUGAAUCCGCUAUCGAAGAUAAAGUUCGAACAGCCUUUUAUAAGCUGCACUCUGGGUGAUUAUCCCUGUGAAGGGGCUGCGCAAGUCAGGUCAGAAAUCUGCCAAGCGAUCGUCCCCUAUGGGACUUCAAACCCAGAUGCGCUGGCCAUCGUGCCAGUUGUUCCCAGGUCAAGACAGAGGGAUUUCGGGCAAAGGCGUAAGCGGAGGCCCUUCUCCGUUGCUGAGGUGGAGCUACUGGUGGAAGCUGUGGAGCUGCUUGGGUUCGGCAGGUGGAAAAACGUCAAGAACCAUGCGUUUCGCGACAACGAGGAGAGGACCUACGUCGACCUCAAGGACAAGUGGAAGAACCUGGUGCACACGGCGAGCAUCCCCCCGCAGCUGCGGCGGGGGAGGGCGAUCCCGCCGCAGGGCCUCCUGGACCGCGUGCUGGCGGCGCAGGCCUACUGGACCGUGCACCACGCCAAGCGCGACGAGGAGGAAGGCCGAGACUAG